rnacentral:ncRNA from 1 species
GAUCGGGAGAGACCGCGCGCAGCACACGCGGCGCCGAAGGGGAGGCAGAAACUCUCAGGCAAAAGGACCGGU